rnacentral:rRNA from 1 species
CAGGCCUAACACAUGCAAGUCGAGCGCAUGUCUUCGGACAUGAGCGGCAGACGGGUGAGUAACACGUGGGAAUCUACCUUUUGCUACGGAACAACUCCGGGAAACUGGAGCUAAUACCGUAUGUGCCCUUCGGGGGAAAGAUUUAUCGGCAAGGGAUGAGCCCGCGUCGGAUUAGCUAGUUGGUGGGGUAAAGGCCUACCAAGGCGACGAUCCGUAGCUGGUCUGAGAGGAUGAUCAGCCACACUGGGACUGAGACACGGCCCAGACUCCUACGGGAGGCAGCAGUGGGGAAUAUUGGACAAUGGGGGCAACCCUGAUCCAGCCAUGCCGCGUGAGUGAUGAAGGCCCUAGGGUUGUAAAGCUCUUUCACCCGGGAUGAUAAUGACAGUACCGGGAGAAUAAGCUCCGGCUAACUCCGUGCCAGCAGCCGCGGUAAU